rnacentral:tRNA from 1 species
UCCCUGGUGGUCCAGAGGUUAAGACUUUUUGCUCCCAGUGCAGGGGGUCCCGGGUUCGAUCCCUGGUCAGGGAA